UGUGCUGCGGUCUUCAAAACCAGAGAGGCUG
rnacentral:tRNA from 1 species